rnacentral:rRNA from 1 species
GAUGAACGCCGGCGGUGUGCCUAAUACAUGCAAGUCGAACGCGUUGGCCCAAUUGAUUGAUGGUGCUUGCACCUGAUUGAUUUUGGUCGCCAACGAGUGGCGGACGGGUGAGUAACACGUAGGUAACCUGCCCAGAAGCGGGGGACAACAUUUGGAAACAGAUGCUAAUACCGCAUAACAGCGUUGUUCGCAUGAACAACGCUUAAAAGAUGGCUUCUCGCUAUCACUUCUGGAUGGACCUGCGGUGCAUUAGCUUGUUGGUGGGGUAACGGCCUACCAAGGCGAUGAUGCAUAGCCGAGUUGAGAGACUGAUCGGCCACAAUGGGACUGAGACACGGCCCAUACUCCUACGGGAGGCAGCAGUAGGGAAUCUUCCACAAUGGGCGCAAGCCUGAUGGAGCAACACCGCGUGAGUGAAGAAGGGUUUCGGCUCGUAAAGCUCUGUUGUUAAAGAAGAACACGUAUGAGAGUAACUGUUCAUACGUUGACGGUAUUUAACCAGAAAGUCACGGCUAACUACGUGCCAGCAGCCGCGGUAAUACGUAGGUGGCAAGCGUUAUCCGGAUUUAUUGGGCGUAAAGAGAGUGCAGGCGGUUUUCUAAGUCUGAUGUGAAAGCCUUCGGCUUAACCGGAGAAGUGCAUCGGAAACUGGAUAACUUGAGUGCAGAAGAGGGUAGUGGAACUCCAUGUGUAGCGGUGGAAUGCGUAGAUAUAUGGAAGAACACCAGUGGCGAAGGCGGCUACCUGGUCUGCAACUGACGCUGAGACUCGAAAGCAUGGGUAGCGAACAGGAUUAGAUACCCUGGUAGUCCAUGCCGUAAACGAUGAGUGCUAGGUGUUGGAGGGUUUCCGCCCUUCAGUGCCGGAGCUAACGCAUUAAGCACUCCGCCUGGGGAGUACGACCGCAAGGUUGAAACUCAAAGGAAUUGACGGGGGCCCGCACAAGCGGUGGAGCAUGUGGUUUAAUUCGAAGCUACGCGAAGAACCUUACCAGGUCUUGACAUCUUGCGCCAACCCUAGAGAUAGGGCGUUUCCUUCGGGAACGCAAUGACAGGUGGUGCAUGGUCGUCGUCAGCUCGUGUCGUGAGAUGUUGGGUUAAGUCCCGCAACGAGCGCAACCCUUGUUACUAGUUGCCAGCAUUAAGUUGGGCACUCUAGUGAGACUGCCGGUGACAAACCGGAGGAAGGUGGGGACGACGUCAGAUCAUCAUGCCCCUUAUGACCUGGGCUACACACGUGCUACAAUGGACGGUACAACGAGUCGCGAACUCGCGAGGGCAAGCAAAUCUCUUAAAACCGUUCUCAGUUCGGACUGCAGGCUGCAACUCGCCUGCACGAAGUCGGAAUCGCUAGUAAUCGCGGAUCAGCAUGCCGCGGUGAAUACGUUCCCGGGCCUUGUACACACCGCCCGUCACACCAUGAGAGUUUGUAACACCCAAAGUCGGUGGGGUAACCUUUUAGGAGCCAGCCGCCUAA